rnacentral:lncRNA from 1 species
CAUGUUUCUGUGUGGGAGCGGCCCUGUAAGGAGGUUCAAGUUUCCAAUUAUAGGCCACGGUUUGGGGCCUGGUGGCAGGUUGAGUUUGGGACGGGUAAGGUGGCGGAAGAGGGUUAUCACGGCUACGGUAGCAAGCAAAAGGGCAGCAAAAGUAGAGAGCUCCAUUUUGACAGUGGUAAGGGUGAUUUGUGUGGAAGCUGUGAUCCAAGCAGAAGAGGUGAUGAGUCUAUUUAUAGGACACACCUUCUGUAUUAUUGGCAUAUGCGCGCUGGGGAAUUAAUGAUUAAUUUGAAUUAUUGGUAAGAAAUACAAAUGUUAACACAACUAACAGUCAAUUGUCUCUCUUGCUCUCAUUCAGUACCCGUCAGCUAAAUUCAACUAACUUUUUUUCUUUUAUUUUUUAAAGUUAUAGGCUGAUUACUGUGGUGGGGAAGAAAAUAUGGCUGUGUGAUCAAUCUUUUUCUUUGUAGGUUACUGAAGGUUCGUUCUCUGAUGCCUGGUCGGUGCGGCAUAGCUUGAGGGACGUUAUACGCAUCGUCUCACGUAAUCCUUUUCUUUUGUUAAUUCCAAUUCGAUCCUUAUGUUACCAUGUUUUAUACAUUCACUCAUUUGGUUCGUACUUUUUAUUCUUACAUUUUGAUCCUUAUAUUUUCAUUAUCCAUUUCAAUCUAUAAUUCAUUAUUUUACAGGUCAUGUCUGGGUUUUCAUGGCGGCAUGCGUGGGCUAGGCAUUCUCCAUAAAUGACUUAAGAGCAAUCCUUUUGUACUAGAGAACAACCAAAAAGGGUAUAAUUUGUGGUACAAUUUAUCUCUUACCUUAGUUUGUGGUCUACCCAUUAGUCGGAGCAAAUGGUUUACUAGAGAUGAGGUUACAUUAGUAUAAUUUGUUUCUUUAAUAAUUUUAUUUCCUUGUUUUUAUCUCUUAUAAUUUGAUUUUAGGUUUUCUAUUUUAUAUGUGAUUGGAAAAUAUUUUCCAUUCAAAAAUUAUAAGCCAACCCACUGAGAGAAGAAAAUAGAUUGGAUUAGAGCCAUUUUUUUUUAUUUAAAAAAAGAGCUCUCUUGGUGUAAUUUAUGAGAACAUGGGUACUCUCCAAAAGCUAAUGUCGUAAUGAUUUCAUUCUUGUUUUGUUAAGUCAAAAAAUUUAGAAAAAAACUUUAACAACAAUUUUAAUUUGACCUGAAUUAAAAAAAAAAUUAUUAGUUAAUCAAAGAUGCAACUGACCACCAUGUUUAUAUUAUAAAUAAAAAUAGAAAAUAAAUUGGAUUAGAGCCAAUUUUUUUCUUAAUAAAAAAGCUCUCUUGGUGUAAAUCAGGAGAACAUAGGGACUCUCCAAAACCUAAUGUCAUCUUGAUUUCAUUCUUGUUUUGUUAAGUAACAAAAUUUAGAGAAAAACUUUAACAACAAUUUUAAUUACACCUUCUAUGAAUUAAAAGAAAAGUAUUAGUUAAUCAAAGAUGCAACUGAUCUUCAUGUCUAUAUUGUAAAAAAAAGUAAAAAUAGAAAAACUUGAAUUAUUUCAAUAUAUUUGAAAUUAACCUUGACGAUUAUGCUAUGAUGCUAUUAAAGCUUAUAUGUGAUAUGUAUAUAUAGACAUACUCUCACAACCAUGACAUAUUUACUUACUUGACUAAAUACAUAAUUUUAUUUCUAAAAUAAAAUUAAAAGGAAAGGAAAUGAUUAAUUCCAUAAAAGAAAAAAAAGAAAGAAGUUGUUUUUACAAGGUAAAUGUAAACCCCUAGCCAAUAUCAUUGAUAAUAAUAAAAGUCAAUAUUAUGAAGAAAAAAAAAAGGAGAAAGUGAUAAAUUAACUUAUAAGAAUGAUGAUAAAAUUCGAGAAUCUGAAAUAAAAUGUUUUGGAUGGGGGUUAGAGUAAAAAUAAAAAAAUAAUAGUAAUACAAUAUAUAUAUAUAUAUAUAUAUAUAUAUAUAUAAACACAGAAAUGCGAAUAGAAUUUUAAUAAAAGUGAAUUGCAUGGAAUUGAAAAUACUAGUGUGUAACUUAGUGAAAAUCAAAACAACUCAGGUAAGAUUUGGUAUAAACAGGCGUCAGGAUUCGGGAAAUAGAAGGAAUUUUUAAAAAAGUUAAGUAAAUAUAUGUGUGCAAGUGUGUGCGCGCACAAGAAGAAAGAAUUGAGGGAUAUACAAGGCAUUUUUAAAAAAGUUAAGUGUGUGUGCGCGCGCGCGCGCGCGCGCGCGCAAGUGAGUGUGUGUGGGAAGAAAAAAAAAGAACAAACUUGAUUUUUCAUAGGAGAAGGGAGCAUUCAGCCAAGUGAGAGGAAAAAUCCAAGCAAGGGAAAAUUUCUCAAUUUAAAAGCGUUAAAGCUUUGGCUAUUGCUUGGUAAGGUGCCUUCACACUUUUAUAUAAGAUUCUUGAAGAAUUUAUGCUUUAAAUUGAUAGAACUUUGUGAAAUGAAGAAUUAGGGUUCAUGAUAAAUUUUAGAAAAAAUUACAAUUGAUUGUGAAAUUGUGUUCAGCUUAUUGAAGUGAGUAGAGAAAGUAAGAAAUUAUGGUAAUUGAAGUAAAAUUUUGGGUGUUCUUGAAGAAGGGAUUUUUGGCAAAAUAAUAAUAAGGAAAAAAAAAUUCAAGAAUUUUGAUAAGAUAGGAGAUUGUAUAGGAAAAAUGAAAUUAAUGUUAAAGAGUGAAUAGAUCAUGAAAUUUUUUUUUUAAUGUUUUUCUUUAGUUUAAAUUUUGAUAAAAAAUUUAAGAAUAUAUAUAUAAGGAAUUGUGUUACAAUGUGGAAAUUUAAAGAAUAAAAAGGAAAUUUAUAAAAGAAAGAAGGGAAUUUUCAUGUUUCUUUCUAAAUUUGAUUUUGGCAAAUGAAAGGAUAGUAGGAAGGAUUUUAUUUAUUGAUUGUGUUAAUAUGGAAAGUAGAAUAAUGAUGUUAUAUACUUGUUAAUUUAGGAGAGGUUGUUACGCCGACACCACAGCAGAGAACUUCGACUCGAGCUCAGUCAUAAGAUAAUUAUGCGAUGCCUAAUUUAUUAUGGGCCAAUAUGUAUUGUUAUUUGAUUAAUUAUGGGUAAUGAAUUAGUAAUUGGUAUAUUAUUUACUUGAGGAAAUAGAUAUGUGGUGCAAUGAACUCUUUCCUGAUUUAAUGGAAUUAAUGCCCUGAUGAAUGGGCAUCAUGAAGAAUUAAUUUCCUGGUUAAUAGGAUUAAUGCCUUUGUGAAUGGGCAAAUCCUUGAACUAAUUCCUGGUUUAAUGGAAUUAGUGCCUUGGUGAAUAGGCAUGAUGAAGAAUUAAUUUCUUAGUUAAUGAGAUUAAUGCCCUGGUGAAUGGGCAAAUUCUUGAACUAAUUUCUGGUUUAAUGGAAUUAGUGCCCUGACAAAUGGACGUGAUGAGGAAUUAAUUCACUGGUUAAUGGGAUUAGUACCUUGAGGAAUGAGUGAAUCGUUGAACUAAUUUUCUGGGUUGAUGAAAUUAGUGCCUAUUGAAUGGACGAACAAGAAAUUAAUCACCUAUUAGUGGAAUUAAUGUCGGGGUUAAUGGGUGAUAGGAGAAAUUAUAUUUUUGGUUAAUGUUCAAGAAUUAAGGAUUAUUCAGAAAUUUAAUUGAAAUGUAAUACUAGAUGAAUGAAUUAAUUUAAUGAUCUUAUGAGUAAUUUUUUAAAAAAAAAAGAAGAAGAAAGAAAGAAAGAAAGAAUUUUAUUGAUAUUUUAUUUCAUUUGUCUAAUCAAAAUUUUGUAUUAAAUCAAUUUUCAUAUACAUCCCCAUAUCGGACUGAACAGUAGAUUGGUUUUCUUUAUAUUUUGUUGGGUAUUAUUUUAUAAUGAAUGAAGUUAUUAUUUUUUUAUGUAAUAUAAAUUUUAAAAUUUAAUGUGUCAAUAUUUAUCGAAAGUUUUUCUUUAUAGUAUAAUUUUUAAUUAUGAGUUUCUUCUUUAACUAUGUACUCAUUUCAGUUAUAAUAUCUUUAAUGGUUCUUAUUUGUAAAUCUUUGAAUUGUGUAGUGUACUUUAGUUCUAAUUUAUAGAAUAAUUCAUUGAAUUGCAUCUAGGUAAAUGUGUUAUAUAGAAUUGUUUAAACAUGUGUGUUUUUGUUUAUUAAGAAAUGGUGAUGUGAUGAGAGGAGAAAGUCCUGGAUGAUAAGACAAAUAUGAAAUUUGAUAAUUGUGAAUUGUGAAGGAAAAGUCGAUAACUUGAUACCUAUCAAUACAAAGGAAACUCUGCUGGAUUUUUGAUUGAUUGCAAAAAAAUAAUAAUUACCCUAAUCUUAACUGAAUUAUUACGUCUUUACUCUUUGUUUUGAACAUAAAUUUUGGGGUUGUUACAGUAAAAAAGAAAUAGAAAUUUCUUUUUUACUGGAUCAACCAUAAACCAAUUCUAGUUUUAUUAGGGAGUAUUUAAUACAGCCAUAAUUCUAAGCUUCAUGUUACUCCUUUAAAGAGACAUGUUAAACCCAGAGCAUCCUAUUUUAAGUAAAUGAGAUGACAAUUUCUCAUUCCAAAACUAUAAAAUUAAAAUUUGGAUUAAAUCACACAUUGCAAUAUACUAAGCCUUCUAAUUAUUUACAAGGCUUAUCUAAAAGAUAGGCAAUAUAACUAGGAAAACAUUUCAAAUACCACACAUGAGUUACUAAACCUGACAGCUUGAUGUAGCUCAUUUGAUGUAAACCCUCAGCCCAUAAUUGGUGAACCAAGUUAUAUAAGGAAAUAUACAAUUUAAACUGAUAAAUUAGAAAAAGAAAUUAUUCAAACUAGGAUGAAAAAUCCUUAGUGAAAUUAUUUAGAUCCUGAAUGGAGUGGAGAAAUAAAUCGGUAUGUAAAAUGGUGCUCGAUUAUAAAUCGUGUAAAUUUUCCAUUAAGGUAAUAUAAUUAUUUAAAGAAAAAUAUUUGUGAAUUAGGUGAAAAUAUUUAGGAUAAUGAUGAUGAUGAUAGAGUGAAAUUCUUAAUAAACUAAUGUAUGAUUUUAUGUGCAAAUAACAUUGACCACCGAUAUAAGUUUUGCGUACAAUCACACAAUUGUUUUAACUAGAAUGGAAGGAAAUCUAAGGAAAAAUAUUAUCAUGAAUAUGGAUGAAAGUCUCUAAUAAAUUAUUGAAAUUUUUUUAUGAUUUUAGUAAAUAAAACAAUAUGCAAAAGUAUCACUAGUUAAGUAAAAUACUACAAAUAACAAGUGGACAAUUAGUAAAGGCAAAUUUGUAAAUAACAUAAAAACUCCAGCUCCCUUUAUAUAUUGAGGUUGCCAGCCAUAGGAGAAGGAAUUUAAGCUCUCUUCCUCUCAUUUCUAGCAUUUUCACUCAAAUCUUCUCUAAAAUAAGGGUUUUUAGGGUGUUAUAAGGGUGAUUAGUGGAGGAAACACUUUAGCACAAGUUUUGGAAGGGUUUAAGGAAAUAGAAAAUUAAAAGUUAGUGAGAAAAACAAGGAAUUUUAGGAAAGGAAGAGAACCAUAGGAGAACUUUGCAAAGAAAAGGGCAAAUUGAUUUUAGAUUUUCUUGGUAAAGUACCCUAUACUAUUUAAUUAUGAUUAUUUGAGUUUGAGUGUGUGGGGAAGAGAAAUCCCUAAUCUCUCACCUAGAGUUUAUGAGAGAAGUUUGGGGGAAAUAAAAAAUUACUUAUAAAUUGAUUAAAUUGUGUGAAAUGACGGAUAAAUAUAGAAAGAUAAGGAUAUAAAUUAAAAGAAAAGCCAUGGGAAUUUCCUAACCCUAUGGCCAACCAUGAUAAAGAACGGGGGAAAUGAAAGAAUUGAAUGGAAAUGUGUAUUUAUGUGUUAAUUUGAUGUAUAUUGUAUGAUACUUAGGUUAUGGGGUAAAUGGUUAGUUAAGUAUAUGUGUAUGUACCUAUAAAUUUGUUUGGGAACAUGACUUUUAUAAUAUGGAAGUGAGGUAAAAGUGUUGAGAUUGUAUGAAUAAUUGUAAAUUUGGGUGGUUAUGAUAUGUAGUAUGGUAAGAAAGAGAGUAUAAUCAAGUUUGUAAAUGUUUUACUAAAAUCAAAAGAUGUUGUUAAGUUGACUAUAGGCUUGAUUUUGAAAAAUGAUUGAAUUAUAUGAGAUUAUAUAUUUAUUAAUAUAUUGUCUUGAAUACUUAUGUUUUAGGAAAAGAGUUUUGUGUUAAUAUACAUGUGUUGUAUGUAUGAAUGCGGGUUUGGCAAGGAUAUGGAUUUUAAGUUGAAUACUUUUAUGAUGUUAUAUGUAGCUAAAUAAAUGGAAAAGUUUUAAAAUUUAUAGAUUAAGAAAUCUUUUUGUUGAAUACAUGUUGGUAUGAUAUAGAUUAUAAUGAAAGGGAUAUGUGUCAAUGUUAGAGAAUUAUAUGCGGGUAUGUAUUGUUAUUUUGUUAUGAUAUUAUGUUGGAGUAUGUAUUAAGGAAGCUUGAAAUUUGUUAGUGUUGUUUCAUAUUAAUCAAAUAGUUAGUAUGUAAGUUGGUAAAAUUUAGAAAUGGAUCAAAAUGCUAGAUGACUUAAAUGGUUUUAAUAUCUUAUAUGAAAGUUAAAAUUUUUAAAUGAAAGAUAGUUUAAAAUAAUAGGAAAUUGUGUAUACGAAUUGGAAAGACAUUGACUUAAAUGGUUGAAUUAGUUGAUAUGAGCAAAUUAUAAGUAACUAAAGGUUUAAGUGAGAUUGUAUAAAAUACAUAUAAUAAUGAAUUAAUUAAUUAGAAAUUUGGUGAUGCUUUAUUAAUAUGAAAAACUUGGAAAUUGUUAUGGUUACAAAAUGUAAAAUGAAAAAGUGUGGGCUAAAUAAUAAAGGACAAUGAUGGAAAUUUUUAUAUGUUCAAGUUAAAGAUAAUAAUUAUAAUGAUGCAAAGUAAAGUGUAGUCAAAAUUAUAUUAACAUGAAUAUAGAUUAAUGUGAUGGAAUUUUUGACAUACUAAUUGUGGUCCAUCAUUUUAAAUUAGAAGAGACAUCAGGAGUUGGAUCUUCAAUUGGAAGAGUUAAGUCAAUGGAAGAAGCAGGUAGGUGUCUGACACCUUAACCUUUUAAAUUUAUUAAAUUCUAGUCAAUAUUUCUAUAUUUAUUAUUUUAGUUGUCAGAUGUGCUCAUUAUAAAAAGAAUUGAAUUAUGUAAUUGAAACAGAAAGAUACACAUUAUGGUUGAAAUGACAAUAAAUAUUUUAACUAUUGAAAGAGAAAUAUAAGUUCUUUGUGUAAAAGAUUAUGGAAAUUGACUACUUAGUUGUUGUGUAACGAAACUAAGGUUAUAAAACUAUUUACUUAGUUGACCAUGUAAACAGGGCUAAGGUUACGUAAUAUUGUGGAUGCAAUCGAGUGUUGUAAUGUGUCAAAAUAUCCACAGUUUAUAUUAAUUCAUUCUCCAUCCAAUAUAGAAUACACUUCAAAGAGUUGAAAGAUAAGUUAUUGAGAUAUGAUAAUGAUCAACUUGUAAUGGGGAAAAAGAGAAAAAUAUUGGAGUUGUCAUUUAAAAUGGAGAGUUUAUUUGUAUGAAACAUGUUAAUACAUGUUGAUAUAAAUGGGCAUGAGACAUAUUUAAGUUGGAAAAAUAGUAUAAUAUGUCAUAAAUAGGCAUAAGAAAUAUUUAUAUUGAAAAAAUAUUGUAAGACGCCAUAAAUGGGCAUGAGAAGUAUUUUAAGUUGAAAAAAAUAUUGGAACAUGUAAAAAAUAGACAUAAAAAAAUAUUUAAGUUGAAGGGAAAUAUUUGAAUGUACCAUCAAUGAGUCUAAAAAAUAUUCAAGAUGAAAAUUAUAUUUGAAGGAGCCAAAUGAGCGUAAAGUAUAUGAGAAUGGAAGAAAUAUAUGUAUAAGCUAGAAACGGUUCGGAAGCAUAUUGAGUUUGUAAAAUUAUAUGGAUAAGCCAUAAUGGAUAUAAUAGACAUUGAAAUUGAUAUUUAUUUGCCAAUAAUGAUAUAAUAGAUGUUGAGAUGAACUAACAAAACUAUAUGGUUAAAAUGGAAUAAAUGCAUAGGAAAGCUAAAAAAGCAUAUAGUUGUAAUUGAGAUGAAAUGUGGUAUGAAUAAUGGCAUAAACUUAUAUGCGUAUGAGAUGAAAUGGGAUAUUUAUUAAAUAUGAUAUGGAAAGGGAACAUGAUAUGAAAAUAUUACAAUAAAUUCGAUGAACAUAAAAGAAGUGAGUGAAGAUUGUAUUGAGAUGAGUUAUGGAAUAGUUGGUAAGUCAAUGAGUAGUUGUAUGUGUGAUGAUAAUAGUGUAAUGUGUUUAAUGAAAAAAAGAGUUCAUCAAUGAUUGAUAUGGAAAUAUUUUAAAAAGGACAUAGAUUAGUGUGUUUAUAAAAAGGUUAAUGACAUUUGUUUUGUUCAUAUAUUCGUAAAAUAUAAUAACUAUGAUGAUGUAAAUACUUAUGGUAAUUUUUGUGAUCUUGUGUCUUACAAGUACUUUUCUUUUAAAGGCCUUAAUUUUAAUGAAGAGGUUAUUGAGCUACCUGGCAUUUCCUAUUGGGUAAAUCUUGGUAUUGUCUAAUGAUUAUAUUGUAAACAAGUUUAAGCAUGUAAUUUAUAAGGUCUUGUAACUGCACAAAUGUGUAGGUAUAAAUUAUAUAUCAUUAUACUUGUGGAUAAAAUUAUUGGAGAGUGAGCUUGAAGAUGUCCUUAUGAUAUUAUAAAAAGAAAUUACUUCUAAAUUUCAUGUAUAAGACUAUUAGAAAGAUAAUAAUUGCAUAAAAAAUCUCGGGACAUUACAUUUGAAAUCUUUGUAUCCAAGAAUUAACAAAUUUGACCCCUUAUUUGUAUCAGGGAAACUUGCAGAGAAUCUGCUCAAAUCAAAACAGAGAAUGUGUAGUUGAAAAUCAUGGCAAAGAUUCUGCCAUUAACACUAUAUUUGAAGCUGAUUCCAAACUUGAAUUCUGCAGCUGUAUUCUGCAGCUGUAUAUUGUAAUAUCAUAGUUUUAGCAUUACCAUUUAUAUGUUUCCUAAACUGACUUUCCCACUACUGUAUAUAUAGCACACAAUAUUUAUCAAUGAAAAGUGUGGAGAAUUAUUCAUUGAAAUAGCAGCCGUAUCUAGUUUUUAUAAGGUAUCAGGGCAAUCAAUUUCUAACGAACCACUGAUCCAAAACACCACAAUGUUAUCAUCCUCCGAUCUAAACCCAAACUUCACCCUCAAUACCCAACCCUCUUCUACAAUAGACAAACCAAUCAUUGCUUUCAAUAUCACAGCACAAAUUAAUGAAAAAUUAACCCCCUCCACCUUUCCUCAAUGGCAUGCUCAAUUUGAAGCUCUCCUUAUUGGUUAUGAUUUACUCGACUAUGUCGAAGGCACACUUUUGUGUCCCUCCUCCUCUGGCACUACCACUGAUGAGCUCUGCAAGCUCUAUUGGGUCCGACAGGACAAACUUAUCCUGAGUGUCAUUCUAGCCUCCACAUCACCUUCAAUCACACCACUCAUUGCUACGGCAAAGACAUCUCAUGAAGCUUGGAAAAAGCUAAAAAAUCUAUAUGCUAGCCGAUCAAGAACUCGUGCUAUGCAGUUAAAGGAGGAACUCACUUUAAUCCAGCGUGGACAUCGGUCAAUCACAGAAUACCUCCACGCUGUGAAGACCCUAGCUGAUGAAAUAGCCAUUAUUGAUCACUUAAUUUCAGAUGAUGACCUAACAUUUUAUGUAUUGAAUGGUUUAGGUUCAGAAUUUCAGGAGAUUGUAGCGCCUAUUCGAGCCCGAGAAUCACCACUGGCAUUUGAGGAGCUGCAUGAACUGCUGGUGGGACACAAGGCAUACCUGAGGCGCUUGAAACAACAACACAACAACUGGUAGCUUCCGCCAACUACACAAAGACAAAGCAUUCUAUGUAUAGAGGGAUUCAAUAGUGGUCCCUCAAACCAAACGACAACCCCCGAGGGUCUCAAGGUCCCAGUACCGGCAGAAACUUCAGUGGAGCCCAACGUGAUGGACGUCAUUUCAAUAAUAAUUCUGACAGACCCAACAAUUUCAAUAUGCACUAUCAGCCCAAAUGCCAAAUCCGUGACCAAUUUGGCCACAUUGCAAAGUCUUGUCCUCAGUUUCAUCCACAAAAUGUCUCUAUCAAUUGUGCUACAACCUCUACUGGGAAGAACAACAAUUGGUUAUUGAUUUGGCCGCUUCACAUAAUAUCACGGGUGAUCUUUCUAAUUUAUCUGUCCAUUCCGAAUAUGAUGGAACUGAUGAAAUAAUACUCGGUGAUGGUUCGGGUUUAGCAGUCUCACAUAUUGGCUCUUUGAAUUUACAAUCUACCCAUCAAAACUUUAUACUCCGUGAUACCCUUUAUGUUCCAAAUCUUCGUAAAAAUUUAAUAUUUGUUCAUCAUUUCACCAAACAAAAUAAUGUUUUUGUUGAACUUCAUCCUUUUUAUUUUUUUGUGAAGGGCGAGAUCACGAGGGCGAUUCUACUAAAAGGAGCAUGUAACAAUGGCAUCUAUAUCUUUCCGGAUUCAAUGGUGACACCCCCAAAAGGUUGCUAAUGUGCAUGAACGGACUUCCAUUGAUGGAUGACAUAAGCGUCUUGGGCAUCCUUCCCUUAAAAUUGUCCAUCAUCUUGUUAAGAAUUUUUCUCUUCCUAUUUCAUCGCAAAAACAUUUUUCAUAUUUAUGUCAUUCAUGUUCCAUUAAUAAAACACAUCAACAACCCUUUCGUGGCACCAGUCUUCAAAGCCAUGAACCUCUUGAACUUAUUUACACAGAUGUGUGGGGUCCAGCUAGCUAUACUGGAAUUGAUGGAUCACAAUACUACCUUAUUUUUAUGGAUCACUAUAUAAAAUACAUUUGGUUUUAUCCAAUGGCAACUAAAUCCGGUGUUUCUAAUAUUUUUUCAUAUUUCAAAAAGUUUGUUGAAACCCGCUUUUAAAAACUGAUCAAAACACUCUACUCCGACAAUGGAGGUGAGUUUAUUGCCUUAAAAUCUUAUUUCUUACAUCAUGGCAUAACCCAUUAUACUACUGCUCCAUACACCCACCAACAAAAUGGCAUUUCAGAACGUCAUCACUGUCACAUCGUGGAAACGAGCCUUACACUACUUCAAGAUGCAAAUCUUGACUUCUCGUACUGGCCCUAUGCUUUUCAAACAGCUUCUUACCUCAUAAACCGACAACCCACACCACUCCUACAACACAAAUCCCCUUUUGAAGCCCUUUUUGGCCAAACCCCAAGUUAUUUAAAAUUUAAAAAAUUUGGAUGCAUUUGUUAUCCCCUCACACGACCCUAUAAUUCAAAUAAAAUGCAACCAAAAUCCAAAGCAUGCAUUUUUCUUGGUUAUUCAUCAACUCAAAAUGCCUACAAAUGUUUUGACCCUCAUUUACGAAAUUUUUUUAUCUCUCACCAUAUGUUGUUUGAUGAAAAUCAACAUCACUGCACCUCAUCACAACUCUUGUCUUCCAUGUCCAACCUGGUCAGUCAAGCCAAUCACCAAGUCAUUCCCCUUUAUUUGGUCCCCCGCAGAUCGUUGUGCCAUCAUCAAUGGUCUCCACAACACAAGCCUCAUCAUUGCCUCUAGAAGGCUCCCUUGUCAUUGUUGUAUCCUCCCUGGGUAAUUUCAGCACUCAUGUGUCCUCUUUAAAUUUGGAACCACAUUCUCCUAUUCAACCUACUGAUCUGCACAUUAGUUCAACUCCUCCUCUCCCAAAUUCCAUUGUUUCCAAUCUUAUCCCAUCCAUCAAUCCUCCUCAUCGCACACACACCAUGACCACACGCUCGAUGAACCAACUCUUCAAACCUAAACAAAUUCACAGUGUCCAAACACCCUCUUCCCCAGACCAUAGAACGAACCUGUGUGAGCCAAGCCAUUACUCAACCUCACUGGCGUGAGGCUAUGUCAAAUGAACUCACUACCCUAAUGAAACAUGGAACAUGGGAUUUAGUGCCAUUACCUUCCAACUGUGCACCCGUGGGUUGCAAGUGGAUCUUUCAGGUAAAAAGGAAUGCAGAUGGCUCUGUCAAUAGAUUCAAAGUCCGCCUAGUUGCUAAAGGUUUCCAUCAACGUCCAGGGGUUGACUAUAAGGAAACGUUCAGCCCUGUAGUAAAACCAGCAACUAUAAGAGUUGUAUUAUCUGUUGUAGUCAUGAGUGGAUGGGACUUACGUCAAAUGGAUGUCAACAAUGCCUUUCUUAAUGAUGCAUUAACUGAAAUUGUUUUCAUGAUGCAGCCUCCGGGGUUCAGAGAUUUGUCCAAAUCUAACCAUGUUUGAAGGUUGAACAAGGUCAUUUAUGGCCUUAAACAAGCACCUAGAGCUUGGUACACAACACUCAAAACUGCUAUCCUUCAGAUAGGAUUUCACAACUCUAAGGCAAACUCUUCUCUAUUCAUUUACAGCAAUGGCUCCAAUCUCUGCUACUUACUGGUUUAUGUUGAUGAUCUUGUCAUAACAGGGAAUAAUCCAACUCUUGUGACCAUUUUCAUUCAGCAGCUAGGAGACAUGUUUUCUCUCAAGGACAUGGGCUCUCUUCACUUCUUCUUGGGUGUUGAGGUAAUUCCUACUAGGGCAGACUUAUUCCUCACACAACACAAAUAUGUUCGUGAGCUUCUAGCUAAUACCAACAUGAGUGGUGCAAAAGACAUCUCCACGUCUCUGUCCACAACACAGUCACUUCAACUGGUUGAUGGCAUCGUUGCUGCGGACAGCAUAAAAUUUCGUCGAAUUAUGGACGGCCUUCAAUAUCUCUCUUUGACACAACCAGAUAUAUCAUUCGUUGUCAACAAACUCUCUCAAUUUAUGCACGAGCCUAUUGCAACUCACUGGACACAACCAAACGGCUUCUGCAAUACUUAAAACAAACCAUUUUCUAUAGUGUUCAGAUUCACAAAGCUGGACCUUUAGUUUUAAAAACAUACUCUGAUGCUGAUUAGGCUGGGAAUGUGGAUGGUCGCACGUUGACGUCUGCAUACAUCAGUUUUUUAGGAACUAAUCCCAUUUUGUAGACAUCCAAGAAACAAAGAGUAGUUGCACGAUCCACAACGGAGGCUGAAUACCGAGCACUGGCCAAUGCGGCCUUAGAAACAAUGUGGUUGUCCACUCUUUUCAAAGAACUGACAUUUCCAAUCCAAGAAUCUCCUUUGCUGCUAUGUGACAAUUUUGGAGCCACACACCUCAACUUCUAUCCAGUAAACCACUCGCGCAUGAAACAUAUUCAAAUUGAUCUUCACUUUGUGUGUGAUUUAGUGCAACAAGGAAGUCUUCAGGUCAGACAUGUACACACACAAGACAAACUAGCUGAUUUGUUAACUAAGUUACUGUCCAAACAACGAACGACUGUGUUACGUAACAAGAUUGGUUUUGCGGAUGGAAGCUCAAUCUUGCGGGGGCGUAUCAGGGAAACUUGCAAAGAAUCUGCUCAAAUCAAAACAAAGAAUAUGUAACAAAAAAAAAAGAUUCUGCCAUUCACGUUAUAUUUAGAGCUGAUUCCAAACUUGAAUUCUGCAGCUGUAUAUUGUAGAAGCAUAGUUUUAGCAUUACCAUUUAUAUGUUUCCUAAACUAACUUUCCUACUACUGUAUAUAUAGCACACAAUAUUUAUCAAUGAAAAGUGUGGAGAAUUAUUCAUUGAAACAGUAGCUGUGUCUAGUUUUUUUAAUUUGUUCAUAAAAUUUUGGUUUUUCUUUUUCAUCUAUGAUUUCCCAAUAAUUUCACAAGAAUAAAUUCCAUUGUUUAUAGGCUUAAAAACUCUUUAAUAAAAUAGUCCAUCAUUUUUAUUUUUAUUAGUUUUCUAAUGUAAAGUAUAGGGUUUUGUAACCUCUCCAACAAUCUUUUCAUUAGGUAGGAUUUUAUUAGUCUAAGCAUUUAUUUGUUGAGGAGAAACAGAUACAAUUCAGAGUUGAUCAAUCAUAAAAAGAAAAAUUCUAAUUCAUUUUGAUUAAAACCCUUUCAUAUUAAUCCAUUUAUUUUUCUUGAAUAUAUAGAAAUGUUUUGAUUCCAAAGCCAAAGAUUAUAAUUUUUGACCGAGCAAUUAAAAAGAUUCUAGAGUGUAUUCGGGUUUAGGUAUUGUUCGUCUACUAAUUUUAGUAUCAAGCACUUCUCAGUAAGAUCUAAUAUGACUAGAUUUACAAGUAAGCAUGUCUUGUAAAUAUAAGAAAUGUCAAAUCCCUCUAGAUCCCAAACCUCUAUUUCUUCUAUGUGUUGUCCCCGUUGUUAGUCCUUUCCUCUAAGAAGUUAUGUAACAUGGGCAAAAUACCCAUUACAACAUUCAUGUAUUUUAUCUAACUUGAUGAAUUAAUUUUAAGAUAUUAGGCUUUCCUAUUAUAAUAGGCUGCUUAAAGGAUCUCACAUUCUUCCAUCAAAAAUUCUAUUUUUUUCCGGGCAUUCAAGUUCAAAUACCUACGGAUUUGCUGUUUACUUACCUACUUCAUAAAAUUCAGAAAAUACUAGUUUUCUCGAAGCCUAUUAUUCAUAUCUCUCAUCAAAAGGUGUUACACGAUAAUGUAUAUAUAGCAGACUUUCUGCUAACCCAAGUAAGUAUUGAAAUAUUCUUCCUACAUUCAUUCAUGAAGGAAGUCCUAAUAGGUUGAAGACCUUAUCAAUAGAUCCUCCAUCUUGCAAAUAAGGCAUAUCUUGGUAGUUUUAAACAAGUUUCUUUUGAAGUUGAUACCUGAAUUGUACAAAUAGAAUAACAUAUUUAUAUAGAAUGUUAAUAAGGCUUCUUUGUGAUCGAUGAUCAUAAAAAUGACUAGGAAAAUGAAUGAAAUUUUGGAAUCUUUACCAAUUUGAUCUUGUUUCCCUAAAAACAAACAUACAUUAACAUUUGAAAGAAGUAUGUGUCCGGAUAGCUCAAAGCGCUCUUAAUCUUUCAAUUAAAAAACAAUGUCGGUGAAGGCAUGUUAGUACACUAUUUCAUGGUGAGGGUGAGGAUUAUAACUUCCAAUGCAUUUCCCAUUUAUCACCCAUGACAGAACUUUGCCUAUUUGUUUUUCCAAGAUCGAUGAAUUAAAUGAUAUUUUUAUUCCAAUUUUUACCUCUUUUUCUCCCAUUGAAUCAAACUUUUCCUAUUAGUAUCAUUGAUACAAGUUAGAUCCUAGAUGUGGAAAUAUAUAAGAUAACAUUUUUCAUCGAAAGAUAUGAUAUUCUCGCAAAUACAAUACUUAAAAGAAUUAACUAAAUUUGUUCGAUGUAAAGGCAAUCCAGAAAGUCAUAUAAGUGGAGAAAUAACCUAUAAAAAUAUGGGCUAAUUAAACCAAUCUUGAUUGCACAUUGAAAAGAGCUACCAGUUUAUCUCUCCAUCAAAUCAAAUUAGCCCAAAAUAUGUGUUCAUAAGCCCAUGCUAAAGUUUCAAUCAAUUCUUGCCAAUAUAUGUGCCAAGAAAUUAAAACAUAAAUCUAGUUUUUCAAAAAUGUCUAAAUAUGAACCAAUAUAUGUGCCAAUAAUCUCUUAACUAUUCCAUUAAAUAAGUAGAAGAUUUAUUAAAUUAUGAAACGUUACCUUACCAUAGUAUUAUGUGCUUCCAAUGACAAUAAAUAAAUAACUCAUCCAAUGAUAUUUAACAUUUAGAAAACCACCAAAUAAAAUGUGUCUCAAGUUGAAAAAUCAUAAGUAUUGCCUUGUCCUAAACCAUGACAAAGAAAACUAUAACCAAAAUCCUUUUUAUCUAGCAUUAAAUUAGAACCACACACAUCUAAAACAUCUUUUACUAAAAUUAAUGUAGUUGUAUGUAAACCUAGAGAAAUAACAUGGUGAACCAAGAAGUCUCUAGACCCUAUUGUUAAGAAUAAUGAAUUACUAUUUUCAUUAAUAGCAUUUAACUAGUAAAACAAGAAGGUUGGAUUAUUCCUUGAAGAUAAAAAUACAUCGAACUUAUAUGCAGUUUUUCAUAAGCUGAUUGUAUCCAUUAGGUAAAUGAGUUCAAUCAAGAUUUGUUUCUUCGAAAUAUCGAAAAUAAGAAUGACAUUAUAAUAAAUAUAACAUCCCAAAAUAUGGAAUCUUAAAAAAAGGCUAGGCCAACUUAAAUAGAAUAUAAUAGUUUCUUUAUGGUCUAGCAUUCUUGCUAAUACACUAUCCUUAUUAUGUUCUAUUGAAUAAGAAAUUUAGUUCUAUAAGCAAAAACUCUUAUUAUAAUGAAUUCUGUGAAGUAUUGAUGAUGAGUAUAUAAUGCAACUUGAGUAGUCUCGUUUUAUAAAUGCAUAAGCAAGUAGCUAGUAUAUGUGUUAGGCUACUAAAGAAGUAAUAACCUCUUAAAAAGUUAGAGAAAUAUCUAAUUAAAAAUGAAGUGAAUUAUUGAUUAUGUCAUAAAGACCUUUAUGUCCACUUUCUAGUUUUUAUAAUUUUGCUUUAAAGGAAAAUAUAUAAAAAAAAUGUUUACUACGAAAAACUAAUUUUUAUAAAAUCAGAUAAAAGAUUUAUUUUUCUAGUUUUUCUAACAUGUUUGGCCUUUAAUUUUAAAGACCAACUACUUAACUUCAACUUUUAAGAGUGAGAAGUGAUUUUUAUAAAACUUUAAAGGUAUAUUAGAUUUUACUUAAAAAAAACAUAAAAAUAUGUUUGGUCUUUUUUUUUUAGAUCAAAGACUACUUAUUUUAUUUGAAAGAAAAAAAAUGACUAUUAAAGUUAUCUAACUUCAAUCAUUUUUAUUUUUAUACAUAGUAAUUAGCUAAUAUUUAACUAUAUAGUUAAUAACCUUAAUUAUUUUAAAAUUAAAUAAAUUUAAUUAUUUUAUUUUAACUAUAUUAUAUUUGAGCUUAUAUGGAUAUUAAUUAAAUUAUUUAGUAGUUCUAUAUACUAAAAAACUAUGUAAUGUUUUUAUUAUUGUUUCUUUUUUACUUAUAUCUUUUGUGUUAUUUGUGUGUUGAAAAAAUAAUUCAUUUCUUAAUAAAUUCAUUUAGUUUUUUCUUAAAAAAAUAUUUAAUUUAAGUGAUGGUUUAAUUAUUUCCCCUUUCCUUUGAUCUUUAUAUUAGCUUUUUAUAUUUAUUUUUUUUAAUUUCAGUUUUCAAUAUUUAAUUAAUUUUAAAUUGAAUUUUCAUGAAAUUAUUAUAAUCUCAAACAAACAUCAUGAUAUUUAGUUAUUGCUCAGUUUUAUAAUUAAAUACAAAAUAAUUUUAAAAAAUGGUUAUUAAAUUCGAUAAAGUCCAUGAGCUGGGUUAUGGGUUUGGUAUAUUAAGUAGUAGAGUCCGGGUCGAAUUAAUAUGUUAUCAUACCUAUAUUAAAAUAAAUAAAUAUAUAUAUAUAUAUAUAUAUCAUUUAGAAACUAUCAUUAAAGUCAAACCAUAUUUUAUUUAGAUUGUUUUGAACUUAUCAAAUUGAUUGAUAAUAUUAAAAUAAUUUUUAUAUAAUUUAAUUUAAAAUUUCAAACUAAAAAAGAAUUUGCCUCAGAAGAAUUUUAACUGAUACCAAAAAGUCGAUAAUAAGUAACAUGCUUUUAUUUGAAUUACAAAAACAACACCUUAAAAGUAAAUUUCCAACGAAGUUGUGGACACAAUGACUUCGUCAUAAUACAAGCAUUACAGAGCUCCAAAUAUAUUACUUUAGUGUGGUUUUAACAAUGCAUUUGUGGGUGCUUUUUUCAAAACGUUUUGAAGAUAAAUGUCUUUUUUUAUAUAUUUUUUUAUUUUCAAUGCGAAAGGCAUUGAAAGAUAUAUAAAAAACGACAUCAUUUUUUUUAAUAGAAAACCACUAAUUAAUAAAACACCCAACAAACACAAUAUCAAAAACAUACUUCCUACAAAUGCGGUCCGUAGGAUAAUCAUCAUCACAUAGAGUACAUGUGAGCUGGAAGUCUGGGUUCAAGUUCCGCAACAAGAGCGAUUUGCUUAGGAGUGGAAAGGCCAAAAAUCUCCUGCAUGUUCAACUCCUCCGUUUUCAUAUCACCAGGCAACUUCCAUUUAAACCCGUGCAGAAGAUUUGCCACACUUGCUUGAAUCACCUUGAGUCCUAGACUGUACCCAACACACAUCCUCCUCCCAGCUCCAAAUGGCAACAGCUCGAAAUUGUGACCCUUGACAUCAAUCGACUUGCCAAUGAACCUCUCUGGGCAAAAUUCGUGUGGCUUCUCCCAUAUGCUUGCAUCCCUUCCAAUGGUCCAUACAUUUACCAUGACUCGGGUGCCUUUGGGAAUGUCAUAGCCACCAAGUUGGAUGUCUUCCCGAGCAAGUCUCGGCACUAGGAAGGGUGACACGGGAUGCAAACGCAUGGUCUCCUUGCAAAUUGCGUUGAUAAAUGGCAAGUUAACAAUGUCUUUCUCUUCAAUCCACCUAUCUCUUCCAAUCACUCGAUCUAGCUCUUCGUUUGCCCUCUUGAAAUACUCCGGCUUUUUCAAGAGCUCGGCCAUGGCCCAUUCUGUUGUCACCGCAGAACUCUCAGUCCCACCUGCGAUCAAAUCCUGCCGAAAAGGAAGUGGAAAAAAAUAUUCACGAAUUCAUAGCAUUUAAACUAAUUUGAGCGUGUGUAAUCAAUUCGGAACUGUUCACAUGUUGAUUGAAAUGAAUAGAACAUACCAUUGUAAAUGCCUUGACUGCAGUCCUGUCGAGCUGGACUUCAAGAUUAGGAUCAUCAGAAAGCUGCAACAGGAUAUCCAUCAUGUCCUGAGGCACAUAGUCCUUGACUCCUUUUCUCCUCUGCUGAUGCUCAUUCAAUGUAUACUCAAGAAACCCAUCAAACAACUGGCCAACGGCCUUCAUUCUCUUAAUAUAGCCUUGCAAAUCCAAGAAGGCGAGCCACGGAAUUGAGUCUCCGAUAUCUAACACCCCAUUAAGCAAGAAAAGCUCAUCAAUCAUUUCCUUGAACUCCUUUGGCGACAUGUACUGCUUUUGGUUCCCAGUUUUAACUGUGUAGUUCUUUCCCAACACCAGGCGACUAAUCACACUGAGACUCAAAUCUGAAAAUUCAUCUCUUGCAUUGAUGGGCUUGCCAGCUGACACGAAUAGCUUUCUUAGGAGAGCAUGCAACUCUUGUACGCGGACAGUCUCAAAUUGGUCUAGACGUUUGGGACUAAAAAUUUCCAUGAGGCAAAUCUUACGUGCUUGUCGCCAAUACGGUCCGUAUUGUGACCACGUAAUGUUUGAGUAGUUAUACGUGGUGUAUUUUCCCGCAGCAAUUUUGGGACGAUCAGCCAGUUUGACAUCAUUGGUUUUGAGAACCGCUUCGGCCAUUUCUACAGAAGAGCCCACAACAACUGGAAAUGAACCAAACUUGAGCUGCAUAAUUGGCCCGUACUUCUGGACAAGGGCGUGCAUGUUUCUGUGUGGGAGCGGCCCUGUAAGGAGGUUCAAGUUUCCAAUUAUAGGCCACGGUUUGGGGCCUGGUGGCAGGUUGAGUUUGGGACGGGUAAGGUGGCGGAAGAGGGUUAUCACGGCUACGGUAGCAAGCAAAAGGGCAGCAAAAGUAGAAAGCUCCAUUUUGACAGUGGUAAGGGUGAUUUGUG